UAUUAUAUUUUACAAGGAAAAUGCCUUGGUGCUCCUCCCGCAAGUGAUAAUAUGACAUAGUCACCGUUAGGAAUGACACAUAAAACAUUAAACAUUAAUAAUAAAACAUUAUCGAUAAAUCAUGUGAAUACCAGAGCAA